AGUGAACGCUGGCGGUAGGCCUAACACAUGCAAGUCGAACGGCAGCACAGUAAGAGCUUGCUCUUACGGGUGGCGAGUGGCGGACGGGUGAGGAAUACAUCGGAAUCUACUUUUUCGUGGGGGAUAACGUAGGGAAACUUACGCUAAUACCGCAUACGACCUACGGGUGAAAGCAGGGGAUCUUCGGACCUUGCGCGAUUGAAUGAGCCGAUGUCGGAUUAGCUAGUUGGCGGGGUAAAGGCCCACCAAGGCGACGAUCCGUAGCUGGUCUGAGAGGAUGAUCAGCCACACUGGAACUGAGACACGGUCCAGACACCUACAGGAGGCAGCAGUGGGGAAUAUUGGACAAUGGGCGCAAGCCUGAUCCAGCCAUACCGCGUGGGUGAAGAAGGCCUUCGGGUUGUAAAGCCCUUUUGUUGGGAAAGAAAAGCAGCAGGUUAAUACCCCGCUGUUCUGACGGUACCCAAAGAAUAAGCACCGGCUAACUUCGUG
rnacentral:rRNA from 1 species